rnacentral:lncRNA from 1 species
UAAAUAGUCAUUCAGUGCUGCUCAGUGUCCCAGACGUCUCGGUGUAAUAAGAUUCACUUCUGAAAAAGCCGUCUAGAAAAGGCAAAGCUUGAAUAUGGAUGUUACUCUUAUAGGUGUGGAUACUUUCUGAAUGUUAGCAACUUAAGUAGAACGGAAUUCAGCCCAAAUUCUUCCUGUUUGGAAUGAAGGGAAAUACCUUUUUAUCCAGUGGGGACCAACAUGCACUUUUUAUCGAACCGUACUGAGUACCAUGAAUUCCCCCGUGCUCCUGAGAGGACUUCAGCCUGUGAAGCAGCCAGUGAUGAGCUGCACUGAUUUAUUUACUGCUUCAAGCAAAUUAAAAUAUUGAGAUGGAUUUAGG